UGUGGCAGCCUGGAUGGGAGGGGAGUUUGAGGGAGAAUGGAUACAUGUACAUGUAUUGUUGAUUAACUUUGCUGUGCACCUAAAACUAUCACAUCUUUGUUAAUUGGCUCUACUUCAAAGCAAAAUAAGAAGUUAAGAAAAUGUU